AGCGAACGCUGGCGGCAGGCCUAACACAUGCAAGUCGAGCGCCGUAGCAAUACGGAGCGGCAGACGGGAGAGUAACACGUGGGAACGUACCCUUUGGUUCGGAACAACCCAGGGAAACUUGGGCUAAUACCGGAUAAGCCCUCACGGGGAAAGAUUCAUCGCCGAAGGAUCGGCCCGCGUCUGAUUAGCUAGUUGGUGGGGUAAUGGCCCACUAAGGCGACGAUCAGUAGCUGGUCUGAGAGGAUGAUCAGCCUCACUGGGACUGGGACACGGCACAGACGCCUACGGGAGGCGGCAGUGGGGAAUAUUGGACAAUGGGCGCAAUCCUGAUCCAGCCAUGCCGCGUGGGAUGAAGGCCCUAGGGUUGUAAAGCCCUUUCGGCGGGGAAGAUAAUGACGGUACCCGCAGAAGAAGCCCCGGCUAACUUCGUGCCAGCCGCCGCCGUAAUAC
rnacentral:rRNA from 1 species